UACGUAGGCAGCGAGCGUUGUUCGGAGUUACUGGGCGUAAAGGGUGCGUAGGCGGUUUUCCAAGUUUGGUGUGAAAUCUCCCGGCUCAACUGGGAGGGUGCGCCGAAAACUGGAGGACUGGAGUACCGGAGAGGUAAGCGGAAUUCCUGGUGUAGCGGUGAAAUGCGUAGAGAUCAGGAGGAACACCUGUGGUGUAGACAGCUUACUGGACGGUGACUGACGCUGAGGCACGAAAGCGUGGGGAGCAAACAGG
rnacentral:rRNA from 1 species